AUUGAACGCUGGCGGAAUGCUUUACACAUGCAAGUCGAACGGUAGAGGGGGCAACCCCUCGAGAGUGGCGAACGGGUGAGUAAUAUAUCGGAACGUGCCCAGUCGUGGGGGAUAACGUAGCGAAAGUUACGUUAAUACCGCAUACGAUCGAAGGAUGAAAGCGGGGGAUCGCAAGACCCCGCGCGAUUGGAGCGGCCGAUAUCAGAUUAGGUAGUUGGUGGGGUAAAGGCUCACCAAGCCAACGAUCUGUAGCUGGUCUGAGAGGACGACCAGCCACACUGGAACUGAGACACGGUCCAGACUCCUACGGGAGGCAGCAGUGGGGAAUUUUGGACAAUGGACGCAAGUCUGAUCCAGCCAUUCCGCGUGCAGGAUGAAGGCCCUCGGGUUGUAAACUGCUUUUGUACGGAACGAAAAGGUCUCUCUUAAUACGGGGGGCUCAUGACGGUACCGUAAGAAUAAGCACCGGCUAACUACGUGCCAGCAGCCGCGGUAA
rnacentral:rRNA from 1 species